GUAAAUGUAUUAAACAAUUCCUAUAUAUGCUAGUAAUAUGGUCUAGUGUUUCUACGUCUUACCAUUUAUAAAAAGACUCUAUAGGUUAAUGCUUUAUUUUU
rnacentral:ncRNA from 2 species